UCCUCAUUGAUCCCUCCUCCUCCGUCUCCUCCUCCGCUGCCUCAACCACCUCUUGAACCUAGAGCCUCCGACGCCGCCUCCGCCUCGGCAUCACCCUCUCCCUCAUCAUCUCCCUCUACGAUCGCGGAGUCAAUCCCGAAGCCCUAGCCGCCUUCGUCCGCGAGCUCUCUUGGUCAUCUUCAACUCCAAUCUUGGUCAUCAAAGGAUGCUACACAGGAAAUGCCAGGGGAGAUUAUGUUUCCAGGUCGAGCGAGGAGCUUGUCGAUGUUUGCAGAUGCUACACAGGAAAUUCCAGUUAUUGCGAUUGGAUCAAGUGGGUUUGGUGUGCAUCCAAACAUCUAGUUCGAGUACCAGUUCCCUUUAUUUGCAAUCCUUGAAUCCGCAAUUUUGGGUUUCGACAUUGCACUGAUAACGUUGCUAACGAAUGCAUGCUCUGGAGGUGAAUCAGCUGGAUAUGUUGAUCCGAUCACUGGUUGAGUUUGUUUGUUGCAGUUUCGUUCCUUUGGUUCUCCCCAAUCCUUUGCUCUGUUUUUCAAGAAUUUGGACAAAGAACAUGAAUAAUUGUUACUGGUUUGAUCAAGAACUAAACUUGGAUAUUAAUUGUAUUUAAAUGUCAUGCAGACUAUUAUUGUUUC